UUAAGAUUCACUAUUCAAGUCGAUAAGUAAUCUAAUCGACUUCUAUCGACCUUUUCCGGCAGGGAGGCGCCAUAUCACGCAUCCGCAGCCUCCCUUCCAGGCAAGGCCCCCUCUACAGGAAACUCAUCAUCGUUCCUCGGAAAGUCCGUCCUUGUCACUGGUGAGGGAGUAGCUGUGGCGGUCCCCUCCUACCACCACAAGGGCUCCUAAUUACAUUUUUUGAAUUAGUUUGAAGUCGCGUUAGUACGUUGUAAUCUGAGUCCUGGGACUGAGAGCUCUGCAAGUGAGAGGGAGUGUUGGAUUAUGGCUGAUGCCAUACGGCACUUGCUACGCUCCACUAGUUGCCUACAGCGCUGUGCGCAUGCGCGGCGCUACUCGACUCUCUGCCCGCGUGCGGGGCCCCCCUCCGCCGGUAGUUCGGCGAUUGUACUCAUAGAGAGAGCACGUCGACAUUCUUCGUUUAUUCGUUUUUCUCUACUAGAUAGAAGUCCAUAGAUAGUUUCUUAAUAAAGCCUCGGUACUUAAUAGUCA